rnacentral:rRNA from 1 species
AGAGUUUGAUCCUGGCUCAGAUUGAACGCUGGCGGCAUGCCUUACACAUGCAAGUCGAACGGCAGCACGAGAGCUUGCUCUUGGUGGCGAGUGGCGAACGGGUGAGUAAUAUAUCGGAACGUACCCUAGAGUGGGGGAUAACGUAGCGAAAGUUACGCUAAUACCGCAUACGAUCUACGGAUGAAAGUGGGGGAUCGCAAGACCUCAUGCUCAUGGAGCGGCCGAUAUCUGAUUAGCUAGUUGGUGGGGUAAAAGCUCACCAAGGCGACGAUCAGUAGCUGGUCUGAGAGGACGACCAGCCACACUGGAACUGAGACACGGUCCAGACUCCUACGGGAGGCAGCAGUGGGGAAUUUUGGACAAUGGGCGCAAGCCUGAUCCAGCAAUGCCGCGUGAGUGAAGAAGGCCUUCGGGUUGUAAAGCUCUUUUGUCAGGGAAGAAACGGUGGACUCUAAUACAGAUCACUAAUGACGGUACCUGAAGAAUAAGCACCGGCUAACUACGUGCCAGCAGCCGCGGUAAUACGUAGGGUGCAAGCGUUAAUCGGAAUUACUGGGCGUAAAGCGUGCGCAGGCGGUUGUGCAAGACAGAUGUGAAAUCCCCGGGCUCAACCUGGGAAUUGCAUUUGUGACUGCACGGCUAGAGUGUGUCAGAGGGGGGUAGAAUUCCACGUGUAGCAGUGAAAUGCGUAGAGAUGUGGAGGAAUACCGAUGGCGAAGGCAGCCCCCUGGGAUAACACUGACGCUCAUGCACGAAAGCGUGGGGAGCAAACAGGAUUAGAUACCCUGGUAGUCCACGCCCUAAACGAUGUCUACUAGUUGUCGGGUCUUAAUUGACUUGGUAACGCAGCUAACGCGUGAAGUAGACCGCCUGGGGAGUACGGUCGCAAGAUUAAAACUCAAAGGAAUUGACGGGGACCCGCACAAGCGGUGGAUGAUGUGGAUUAAUUCGAUGCAACGCGAAAAACCUUACCUACCCUUGACAUGUCUGGAAUCCUUGAGAGAUCAGGGAGUGCUCGAAAGAGAAUCAGAACACAGGUGCUGCAUGGCUGUCGUCAGCUCGUGUCGUGAGAUGUUGGGUUAAGUCCCGCAACGAGCGCAACCCUUGUCAUUAGUUGCUACGAAAGGGCACUCUAAUGAGACUGCCGGUGACAAACCGGAGGAAGGUGGGGAUGACGUCAAGUCCUCAUGGCCCUUAUGGGUAGGGUUUCACACGUCAUACAAUGGUACAUACAGAGGGCCGCCAACCCGCGAGGGGGAGCUAAUCCCAGAAAGUGUAUCGUAGUCCGGAUUGUAGUCUGCAACUCGACUACAUGAAGUUGGAAUCGCUAGUAAUCGCGGAUCAGCAUGUCGCGGUGAAUACGUUCCCGGGUCUUGUACACACCGCCCGUCACACCAUGGGAGCGGGUUUCACCAGAAGUGGGUAGCCUAACCGCAAGGAGGGCGCUCACCACGGUGGGAUUCGUGACUGGGGUGAAGUCGUAACAAGGUA